CAGUGAGUUUUAAGUCAUUUUGCACAUCUAAAUGAAGGCGGUCAAUCGUUCCUGAGCACCAGAAAUUGGAGGCGUCAAUUUCUUAGUAAAUAUAAAAGUCUAUAGUGGAAAGUAAGUAAGCCAGAUAAGACUUCUUCAUCAUCCUGUCCCAAUUUGGUGUUUCCCUUUCUGACGUUAUCAACCACAGUGACGUGAACCGAUAUAAGCAGCAGUAUUGAGAGUUUGCAGGAGAAUCGAGUUCUUCUGCUGAACCUGACAGAGCUGACUCAAUAGCUUCUUUAGAGGCAGACAUGAACACCUCUGCGUUUCAGUGCUCUGUAUUUAUUAGUGUGAUGAUGGUCGUGGUGGUGUAUUCAGCGUCAGUGCACAACUGUCCAUUAAACAAAAAACAGUGUGUGCUUUAUCUGCGCCACAUUAAGAAUGCAACUGAAGAUCUGUUAAAAGAGAACCUACACGGAAGGGUGCCAAGGGUUUAUAAAGAUACAUGUGCGGACAAAUUCUUCUGUUUGGCGGAGAAGGCUCUUUCUAACAUUACUGAGGCAAUGAAUCACUCUCAACACGGCAAGGUUGAAAAGCUACGGAGGGCCCUGCAUCAAUACAACAACAUGACAAACGACACCCACUGCACACUGGAAUACAAGAGUAGAUAUCAACUACAUGAAUUUCUUAAGAAUGUGAGCAAGUGCACAGACCGUGUCCUACAUCCUCCCAAGUAUAUAAGAUGAAGGGACCCCAUGAAGUAUUAUGCUCCUUGUCUAAGUUAUUUAUAAUAAUGUAAUAUUUAUUUUUUUAUAUUUAUUUUGCGUUUCUAUUGUAGAUGAAAUGCCUUUAAAAAAAUAAAUUGAAAUGUGACAAUGAAGGUGUUAUGCAAGCUUUUUUUAAAAUCUUCAGAUCAACCCACAGUAGGAUCUUUAAAUUAACAGGUAUAAUUUUGUAGGGAAGCUGGAUGCAAUGCAUUGCUUCGUGACAUCACUACACAACGAGAACCUGAGAUCAGACAUGAAUAAUUUAUUAAAUAAAAUCCAGAUGUUUGUUGGUGUAAACAUUUGACAUACACUAUAACAACAACAAAAAAAGCUCGCUUACAUCCACUAAAAACCAAAACAUUAAAAAAAAGGUCAUACAAGUGCAUAAGGGAUACAGAUACAUACAUUUAUGGUGCAUCACAACAAGUGUUGAAAAUAAAGUUGACUGAAGUGGAAGAAAUGGUGCAGACGUAAGAGCUAAACGGCAUGCAUGCCCUUAAUGCUUCUGACCUAUUAAAGAAAACAGAUUAGGAAGUUUUAUGCGCUUCAGUUGAAUUUAAAGCCUUUUCUUGCUUCUGCAAUAGAAUAAUUUGACUAACUAGAAUCCGAUUAGAAUGUAUUCAGCUUUUCAUUGAACAUAAAUAUGUUAAUUUAUGAGAAGCAAAACAGUCAAAGUUUGAUUUCUGAGAUAAAUGUGUUAACAGGACACUUGUGAAGGUGUUGCUGUUUGUAGGACAGCAUUGUAAUUUCAUUUUAAACAAUCUGACUCAAGUGCCUUGCAAAAGUCUCAACUCUCUUUGUACCAGUUCUCAUUUUGUCCCGAUAUAACAAAAACUUUCAAUUAUUUAUAGACAAUCCAAAACUGCUGAAUAUUAAAAAUGGUAAGGAAAUGAUACAUAGUUUCUAAAAAGUGUGGCGUGCAUUUGUUUUCAGCCCUUUUUAUUCUGAUAUCCCUAGAUAAAAUGCAACAUAAUUUCAGAAGUCACCACGGUAUAAAACAAAGGCCAUCUAUAUGUGACUUAAUCUCAGUAUAAAGGUGCUUUCUGAAGGAAGAAUGUUAACAAUUCAGUCUCAUGUAGCUCUGCAGGAGCUGCAAAGCUCCACAGCUCAGUUGGAAGACCCUGUUGUCAGAUCAACUACUAUUUGCACACUUCACAGAUCUGGUCUUUGAAUGCCACUGCUGAAAUAAAGCCCUGCUGCAGUUUGUUGCAAACCAAUUAGAGGAUCCAGCUAACAAAAAGAUACGGAGAGAGCUAUAUGGCCUCCCUGGAAAUUGCUAAUUUAUGUGAAAAACUAAUACUGCACAUCAUCUUAAACACACCAUUAACAAUGUUGCACAGGGUGAGUGGUGUCUGUCCAUACAAAGCCAGUAGAGACAUAACCCUGAAAGCUCUGAAUACAAAUGCACACCACACUUUCAGGUUUGUAUUUGUGAGGAAUGUUAGAAGCAAUGCGUCAUUUCCAUUACGCUUCCCAGUUAUGCACUUGUCUCUGUUGGUGUAUUACAUAAAAUCCAAACAACAUUCAUUGAAGUUUGUGGUUCCAAUGUGGCAAAAUGUGAAAAAGCAGAAGAGGCCUGAAUAGUUGCAAGGCACUGCUUCAAGCAGAUUGUCUUUCGUUGUGUCCUAUUUUCAAGUGGUUGUUCUCCUAAUAAAGGUGCCGCCUGAUCACAUUUAAAACCUUACCGUCUUAUGCAGUGUGUGAUCAAAAUCUAUUACUGUUCGACCAUAAGCAGGACUAAAUACUUCUUUUACGUUACAUCAAAGCUGAAGUCAAGGUAAAGCUGUAGUGAAAUGUU